rnacentral:piRNA from 1 species
UUGGAGUAAAAAGCAUCCAACACAGCUUC